UGCAACCUGAGGGAUCGAACCCAAGUCUCCUGCUUGUGGUGUUGGUCACCCUGAGUAUCCAUUCUCUGAAGAAUAUUGACUCUCAACUCUCACUGAGAUUCUUCGAGAAUUUCUUGCAUCUAGGAUGGUGAAAACUUUUGUACUUGGUGGAGGUACUUAAAUGAAGUGUCUGAACUUUUGAAAGCUUGCCUAUCUUUUUUAAAAAAUAAAAUAAAAUAUUUAUGAAAGAAUAAAAAA